CCCUUUGACAAGCCAACGGCGGACUGUUAAUCCGUAUGUCACUGGUUCGAGUCCAGUCAGAGGAGCCA
rnacentral:tRNA from 1 species